CAGACACACACCAAGCACAUUAUGUUUGGACAUUCAAUCAUGACAUGAUCCAGGUGGAUGCUGUCCAUUGAGGAAAGAGUUUGUUCAGCGGUUUCUGGAUAGAAUUAAUUCCAAAGAUGGGAAAAAGUGCACAUCCAGACAAGGAGCAAGCAAAAAGACAAGGAACUUGGUGCAGAGAAAAGCUGUGGCCAUUAACCCCUGUGAACAGCUUCAUGCAGUCGCUGAUUGAGUUCGAAUGGACGACUUCAGUAAAGGCCACUGUGGUCUGUCUGCCACAGUUUAAUUUUUAAUUUAUUUUUAGUGUUCAAUGAAAUUCAAGUAGAAUAUUUAAAACUAUGGGCCAGUGUUGUUUUUACCACGGUGAAAUGUUACCUUUUAGUCGAUGAUGGACUUUAAACUGAAAACUUCAAACUAUGGAACAGUGUUCUAUUUGCCAGAGUUAAAUAUGUUACAGCAGGGGUCUCCAAACUUGUUUAUACUUGUUGAUUUUAUUUUAUGUUACUUGAUUAUAUGUUUAUUAUUGUUUAAAAUCUUGUUUUAAAUAUGUUUGUUUCAAUUAAAUGUUUUUUUAAAUAAAAUUUUGAUACAAACAUUGCUUGGAUUGCCUUUUAAUUCAUUAUGUUUUAAUUUAGCAUUUUUACCAUAUUAAUAACUAUAGAUUUAAACCUAAAUCUCUAGCUAUUUUAUAUAAUAUUAUUGUAUUAACUGUAAUAAGUAAUAAAUAGUAUUUAUGGGUCAAUAUAGACAUUACAGUAAAUUACUGUAAAAAUAGACUACUGUAAUAAAAUAUUGUAAAAUUACAGUACAGUACUGCUUUGUAACUAUACAGUACUAGUUUGUGUACUGUAAAAUGGUAUUACAGUACAGUACUGUAAAACCAAAAUACAGUAACUUACUGGCAACCGUGCUGCCAGUACCGUACUGUAAAAAUACAGGGAAAUCGUUAACAGUGUACAUUAAAGUCUUUUUAAAGCCCUGUUCACCUUAGUGGACUCCAUGGGUUUGCAUGAACAUCCUAUCCUUGAAGUUUAAUUCAGAAACUUAUUAAGCUUUUUCAAAAACCUCCAAAAAAGUCAUCGUAUAAUCUAAUAUUAAAUGUGGUUGGCUACUUUUAUAUUAUUGCAGUGUCACUUUCCAUGAUCGUUUCAGAGUGAAAUUUCCAUUUAAUGCAAGUGAUUAUAAUUCAGGUGCACACACACACACACACACACACAGUCAGUGAGUGAAAAGUUGAGCAGAUAUUUAAUGUAAUUCACUGAUAUUUAUUAUAAGAGAAACUGCAGUGAAAGGGUAGAAAUACCUAAAUAACAUAAGUGACAUUUUAUUUCUCAUGAAUGAUUGAACAGCACCAGGCACCUAUUAAAUUGUUUGACAGUGAUCAAUCUAACCUCACAAUAAAUCUUGCAAUGUACAUUUGAAGCUGUGGUGGAUUUGUCCGUGUCAAAGACAACCGUAAGGCCUAAAGGUAAGCCACCUGUACGGGGGCAGCCGAAAUUCAAACUGUUGGACCUUAUGUUAAACUUGCCAACGCUAUUCUCCACGUUUAUGAGGUCAUGUUUUCUUUAUCCUGAAAAGACAUGCGAUACCGACACAAGACACUCUCCGCUAGUGCAAAUGUCAUAUCAUGCCCAUCAUUGUUUUCCGAGCGACUCGUGCCAUCUGAACCCACAGUGACAUUUUGGCAGCGUCUCAGAUCACCCGGCUGUCCGUAGCCAGUCUUAUCGGCGUGCCACGCUCACCACAACCAAUUAUAGUGACACAAGCGACUUGCAUGACCUGGUGCUCUUGGCAUGUUAAAUAUAAAUUAUUCACCCAGCAAGAGCUCGAUUGACUCAUCUUUGGCCAUAUGUCUUGCAGAGCAAUGUGUUUUCCCCAGUAUUUCUUUCAGACCUACAUUAGUUUCUCAGAUAUUCGCUGUCACCACCCACUUGUUGAUUUUGUUUUGCAGCCACGCUGGGUUUUAAAUGGGGCUGAUGCAUUUCGGCUCGGGCACCCGGUUGGAAGUUGGCCAAACUGUGUCCCACUCUCAUGGGAUUCAGUGUGACAUUAUCCGCUAAUUAGAUUCUGUUCUGGUAAUUACAGCCAACUUUUAGGCUAACUGAGAAAUACAUCUUCUGAGUGGACUGAAUGGAUGGAGCUAUAAAGAUUCAAACGCUCUGCUGAUCUGGAAAUAACAGGUUUUAGGUUGGUGCAAACUACCUUUUGAAAACUACAUUAUUUUGCUGUCAAUGAUAAACUGGGCCUGCAGUAAAAUUUGGUUGAAAGUUUAAAAUAGUAAGGAUGUUGUGAUGGUGCAAUCCUAAAUAUAAAGGUUCCCAAAAGGUUCUUUAUCAGGCUUUAAGUGUUUGAUGGCAUAGAGGACCUUAAAUUUUUAUAAUCUUCAGAUGUUAAAGGUUUUUCAUGUAACCAUUUACCCCAAAAUGGUUCAUCUA